rnacentral:pre_miRNA from 1 species
CGGGGGAGGCUGGAUCCUAGGCUGUGUCCCGGCGCCCUGUCCUCUCGGGCCUGCGCUGUUGAUUUCGCGCUCCUGGCCGCGCAGCCCCCU